rnacentral:sRNA from 1 species
AGAGAUGUGACAAGAUGGUGACUGACUCUAUUUCUGUUUUCUUGCAAACCAGGCUAGGCAGUAGUCAAGUUGUUCCGGUGUCAUUCCUAGGAAGGAAGAAGAUUCUUUGGUUUGUCUGAAUGGCCAGGGAGUCUGCGGCUGGAUUCAGAAAGCCAUCCACAGCAAGAGAGUGGAGAUGUUCUAUCUCUCUUCAAGAUUAUCCUGGGAGAGAAGGAAAAGAAUUUGUUACUCGGGAGACUGCAUUAUUUAACACCAACCUGUUCCUUUUCGGUCCAACCUAAGAUGGCUGCAAUACUACAAAUGUGCCAGCAGAUGACGCUACAGGCUACAAUAUUCUAUGUCUGACUUUUACUUGAAAUUUCCUCAUUUGGGCAUUCUGCAGACUCCUUAGAAUUCCUGCAAAUAUUUGGGGAGAAUCCAAGAGAAAAGUGAAAAAAAAUUUAAAAAUCAUACUAUAACAGUGGUAGAAAAUUUAAAGUUAUAUGACUAGUAAUAAACACAAAACUUAGUUGAAA